CUGAUAGCUCAGUUGGUAAAGAAUCUGCCUGCAAUGCAGGAGAUCCCGGUUCGAUUCCUGGGUCAG
rfam:TPA: Bos taurus chromosome 20, whole genome shotgun sequence.